rnacentral:rRNA from 1 species
ACUCCUACGGGAGGCAGCAGUGGGGAAUAUUGCACAAUGGGCGCAAGCCUGAUGCAGCCAUGCCGCGUGUAUGAAGAAGGCCUUCGGGUUGUAAAGUACUUUCAGCAGUGAGGAAGGCAGGUACGUUAAUAGCGUGCUUGUUUGACGUUAGCUGCAGAAGAAGCACCGGCUAACUCCGUGCCAGCAGCCGCGGUAAUACGGAGGGUGCGAGCGUUAAUCGGAAUUACUGGGCGUAAAGCGCAUGCAGGUGGUUUGUUAAGUCAGAUGUGAAAGCCCGGGGCUCAACCUCGGAAUUGCAUUUGAAACUGGCAGACUAGAGUACUGUAGAGGGGGGUAGAAUUUCAGGUGUAGCGGUGAAAUGCGUAGAGAUCUGAAGGAAUACCGGUGGCGAAGGCGGCCCCCUGGACAGAUACUGACACUCAGAUGCGAAAGCGUGGGGAGCAAACAGGAUUAGAUACCCUGGUAGCACAGAG